UCUUGACAUCCAGCGAACUUUCCAGAGAUGGAUUGGUGCCUUCGGGAACGCUGAGACAGGUGCUGCAUGGCUGUCGUCAGCUCGUGUUAUGAAAUGUUGGGUUAAGUCCGCAACGAGCGCAACCCUUAUCCUUUGUUGCCAGCGAUUCGGUCGGGAACUCAAAGGAGACUGCCGGUGAUAAACCGGAGGAAGGUGGGGAUGACGUCAAGUCAUCAUGGCCCUUACGAGUAGGGCUACACACGUGCUACAAUGGCGUAUACAAAGAGAAGCGACCUCGCGAGAGCAAGCGGACCUCAUAAAGUGCGUCGUAGUCCGGAUCGGAGUCUGCAACUCGACUCCGUGAAGUCGGAAUCGCUAGUAAUCGUGGAUCAGAAUGCCACGGUGAAUACGUUCCCGGGCCUUGUACACACCGCCCGUCACACCAUGGGAGUGGGUUGCAAAAGAAGUAGGUAGCUUAACCUUCGGGAGGGCGCUUACCACUUUGUGAUUCAUGACUGGGGUGAAGUCGUAACAAGGUAGGCGUAGCGAG
rnacentral:rRNA from 1 species